AACUUUCAACAACGGAUCUCUUGGCUCUCGCAUCGAUGAAGAACGCAGCGAAAUGCGAUACGUAAUGUGAAUUGCAGAAUUCAGUGAAUCAUCGAAUCUUUGAACGCA
rnacentral:rRNA from 3 species